UCCUGGAGAAGAGGGGAAUGUUGCCGUC
rnacentral:piRNA from 1 species